rnacentral:rRNA from 1 species
UGAGAGGAAGGUCCCCCACAUUGGAACUGAGACACGGUCCAAACUCCUACGGGAGGCAGCUGUGAGGAAUAUUGGUCAAUGGGCGAGAGCCUGAACCAGCCAAGUAGCGUGAAGGAUGAAGGCUCUAUGGGUCGUAAACUUCUUUUAUAUGGGAAUAAAGUUUUCCACGUGUGGAAUUUUGUAUGUACCAUAUGAAUAAGGAUCGGCUAA